GUGCUGUUACCCCUAUUGGACAGAGGGUGAACGGAGGCCCAGAGAGAUGAAGUGGCUUACCCAAGGUCUCACUGGAAGUUCGUGGCAUAGCAGGGACUUGAACCAAGUCUCCCAAGUCUUAGGCUUCUAUAAGUCUGCGCUGAACUGAACACAAAAUGACUGCCUGUCUCCGCCACUUGACAUCACAGCUACUUUAAGGGAGUCUACUGAAGUUCAGGCUUCAUGCUUAGCACCGGUUUGAACCCUUGGACAGAGAGAAGGGUUAGCAGCAAAAGCAGGAACACAUCCAGUGGAAAGACAGGAUUGCAGGCUUCCAGCCUAACCCUCGGACCCCUGGCGCAUCUGUAGGUGCGAAAUGUGGAGUCCAUAAAUCAAUGAAUUGACGCAGAUGAAAACCUGAACGGUGGAAUGGCAAGCCAUGAAUCCUGUUUCCCUUGACAAGUCUCUCCUGAUGUUGGGACUGGCAGAAGUUAUGGUGGUGAUGAAUUGGUCAGCCACCAGCGUGGCAGAUCUUGGUCCUGGGAGGCAAAGGAACUGCAAACAUAGCCCUUGUGUCCCUCUUUUGAGAUGCUCCUUUGCAAUGUCUAGCCAUGUGCAUUGCUGCAGUAAUAUAUAUAUAUAAUAUUGUUUUUGAAGAGGCACCAGAUGGAUAAUUGCAGCCCUUGAGUGCCUAAUCUGCUCUCCAGGACACGGGCAGAUUUCUGAGCCAACAAAACUUAAUUGAACUUUCUGUUCCAGCUGGAAAAGGUUAUGGAUCUAGCGAGUGCAAACGGAAGGCAGGCUGAAAAGGUCAGCUGUUCUGUUCUUUCUGUAAUGGAUUGACCAGGGGCAUGUUUUUAUCUUUCUCACAACCACUGGAUUGUAAAACUUAAUUAGCAAAGUCACUUCUCUCCCCUCUCUGCAGGCAUGUGUGUGAUGAUUACACAUAGAUCACAUUUUAUGGACAUGUCAUGUUUUCAUUUGAGACUAGCAGCCAACACAAGGGAUUUCUCUGACACCUGUUUACAGCACUGCUCUGGAGAAGGCCAAUAGGAAAAGAAAAUCUGAAGGGCCAGAUUCAGCAAUGGAAGAAGUUAGUGUAGCUCCCAAUGAAAUCAGUUGUACUGCAGCUGCUUAUACAGUACCUGAGCUGAAUUUGUCCAUGGACCCGGACCUCUGCGAAAAGAGUGAGAAAAGGGAAUAACAGAGAGACAUGCAUGCAGAUCUGCAAAUGGGGAGGAACAGAGAGAGGGGAAGAGAAAUGAGCAGAGAAAGGAACCCACCCACCUGAAUGCAGAGUGCAGAACCACAUCCAACAGGCCCUUAGUGAAAUAAUGAUACUUUCACUCCUGAACAGUGAAAUCUUAUCCUCUGCAACCACAGCUAGAAAGAAAGAAAUGUGGAGAUCUGUUAACCUCACCUUCCUGUGGGCCCUUUCUUCAUUCAAACCAUAACAGUUAGGAGAGAAUUGCUGUAAAUUGAAAUUAGAUCUGGGUGAAAAAUGCCAAAAUUCAAAUGAUGGAUGAAGUUGUUCCUCAACAAUUUGAAAUUUUGAUACCAAAAAAAAAAAAAAAAAUCACUUGUUUGUCUGUAAA